GAAUGAUUGGAAUUGAUAAACUCUCUUAUAUUUGGAAGUGGCUGUUUUUCAAAACAAAUCUUUUAUCUAGUAUGGCACAUAAUUUAGUGGAAACAUACACAAAUUGGCAUUGCUGUUGAUCAUGAGGGCGGGGGAAGCAUUCCAAUCAUUAGAUCCUUUAUUUUUCACGAAGAAAUAAAGAAUAUUGUAUGAAGGCCACGAUGCGCGUCCAAACCAAUACACACAUGGCAAUAGUUUGUAUACUAGUAUCUUUAAGAAAGGGAGAUGGAAAAAAAAUACGCUUGGUAUUUGUUUCCCCAAAGCUUAUGUUAUUACCUUCAGGUGAAAACAACAUGCUCGGACUUUUCUGGCAUGGCAGAAAACUCCAGUAAGAAGGAAAUAAGGGAAGUCUUUUCCACGAGGGCCUUCUUCUGUGGGACUGGCUGUUUACAUAGGUAUCCCAUUUGGUCUUUAGAAGAACGCCGCGAGGUAUAGCUAAUAUUAACCUCAUCUUACAGCUGAGGAAGUAGCUUUGGUGAGUUUGAAUUACUUGCCCAGGACCAAUUAUUAGAAUAUGGCUGGGAAUUCCUGUUGUGGCUCAGAAGGUUAAGAACCCAACAUCGUGUCUGUGAGGAUGCAGGUUCAACCCCUAGUCUCACUCAGUGGGUUAGGGAUCCAGUGUUGCCACAAGCUGUGGCAUAGGUGGCAGAUGUGGCUCGGAUCCAGUGUUGUGGCUGCUGCAGCUCUGCUUUGACCCCUAGCCUAGGAACAUCCAUAUGCAGCAGGUGCGGCUGUAAAAAGAAAAAAAAGAGAGAGAGAAUGUGGCUGGGAGUUCCCUGGUGGCUCAACAGGUUAAGGACCUGGCUUUGUCACUGCUGUGGCUCUAAUUACAGUUGUCUUGAGGGUUCUAGCCCUGGCCUCAGAAUUUCUGUAUGCCGCAGGUGCAGCCAAAAAAAAAAAAAAAGGAAGAAAGAAUAUGGCUCAGCUGGAAUUCACUCCCAGAAGAACCUGGCUCCAGAGGCCACUUCUUUUCAUUAAAAUGAAAGUCAUGUGUGAAUGAGUCACAUUUUUACUCUCCUCUGCGUCUCCCAGGGCCCAUGCAAGGUGCUCAGUGGCAAGAGAGCUCCCUGUCAGUCCCUUCCCUGACCUUCAGAUUUACCAUCUGAACCUCUGCAAACUGCCUUAUUUCCCUGGCUACUCCUUCGUAAUUUAUUUCCACCAAAUCAAAACCCCCUUGUAUUGCUGAUUUAUAAUCGGGGCUACCUGUCCAGCCCCUGUUCUCCUCUCUAAUUCUCUCAUGGUGUUGAUAACCCCAUGAGUGAAAUAGAUCGAUAACCCCAUGAAUGAAAUAGAUCCUGUCUGCUCCGUGUUCCAGGUGAGGAAAAUGGCGAAGGGGAGUGAAGUGGCUUCUCAUCGCCACAUAUCUUGUAUGGAUCAGACCUGGUAUCAGAUUCCUCAUGUGCUUGAUUCCCAAGCCUCUGCUCCUUUGGCCUGGAAUCUGAGCUGGGUCUUGAAGGCAGGGGUAGAAUUGUGUUGAGUUGGACCUUCUAGGUGGGAGCAGGCCAGAAUUACCAAGUAAACAAAAGCUCAAAGGUGUGAGAGAGAGCAUGUGGCGGAUCCUGGGAAUAGGGGCUCUUGAACAAAGUCAUGAUUCUGGUGCUUUAGACUUGUUUGCUAAGGGAGGCCCUGGGCCAUUUAACAGUGCUCUCUUCUUCCUUCUUGACCAUUGCAAUUCCCAAUAAUGCUCUUCCUCACUGAGGACCAGCCAGUAGCUGGGAACCAUUUAGUUGCAGGGUAGCUCUGGCUCUUUGACAAACUCCUUUCCUCAUCACUUAUCCUGCAGCUAGCAGCUUCAUCCCUCAUGUUUUGAGGGAUCCACACCCACACCUUUCCUGUCCCUGCUGUCUACCAGGCCUGGAAGAAGAUUUGGCUCAGUCCCCACUUUGAGUUUUCACUCUAAAGGCACAGCACAGGGCUCUGGUUAAAACAUCUCCGCCGUCUCCUAUCACGUCGUCCACAGUUACUCCCCCCAGCGAAUGUCUGGUUUUUGGCAUCAGGAGGGAGAACAUUUGACAGAGCCAGAGAGUCUCAAAGCCCAUUCCUGAUGAAAUGGUUUUGCUUCUUUUCCUCUUGUGCUGUCAUUUUAAGUCUCAGGUUUCUAUCUGGGGAGCCUCUUGAAGCUAAGAAAUUCGACCGCCAACAGUGUCACCGCUGAGCUCCAUGACCAAGUGGUGGAAUCUGAAAGUCCAUCCAUAUCAAGCUUGUCGAAUGUUUAUUUUAGAUCACGCAACAAAGGAAAAUCCUUAGCUGUUUGGGUCUUGCAUGGCUAGACCUGGGGAAGCAGGAGAUUCCAAAUGUUCUCAUCUGACAAAGGCUUCUCGUGUAGGCCAUUUUGUUCAGGUGGAAAGUCACCCACCUUCUGUCUGUUUCACUUCUUCCCCCUUGUCAUGAGAAUCAGAGGUCUUGACUGUUGCUCAGUCAGCCCGUUGUCUGCUCUGGUCUCAGGAAUGGAGAAACAGGACUGGCUAGUUUUAGCUCCUCCUCCUUUUAUCCAAUGCCUCUACCCCACCUGUGCCUUGAAAUGCAGUGGAAGGAAUGUCUUAGCUGCUUCGUGGCUUUCUCCCUUUAUCUCACCACGUUAGCACCCGUUCCGUGCUAGGCUCUGGAUGCAGAGACAAAGAAGAGAGAGAAGGCCCAAGCCCUCCAUAACCUUUCAGUUUCCUCUCCCUAGGGGGGCUUCUUCUAGCUCAAGACAGUUUUCUGAGCUCACAAAGCUCCCCCCUUGGCUCUUCCUCUGUACAUCGGGUAGCACUGUGAACUCUUCCUGCCCCUUUAUUCAAUCAGCUCAAUAUGUUAUUAACCUGAAGAGUUUGUUUUGUCCAGCAGAACUGGAGAAUUGGAUGCAUACUACUAUAUUAGAUCAUUUAUAAAAAUAUUUAAGAAGGCCAAUGUCAGCAUAGCCUCUGGGGCUCUCUUGUUGCUCUCUGUCAUAUCUUCAAGACAAUUCACUUGACAUAGGUUAGGUAUAUAGUAUGUGUUCAAUACACUUCUUGUUGGUUCAUUGAUCCCCUUUCUUUGUCAGGCUAGUUCCCACAAUCCCAGGAUGACUCAUGUUUUAAUGCCCCCAGACUUGAGAUGUUGUCAGAAGGUUUUCGUGAGGCUGAAGAAACCACGUGAACUCGUUUCUUCUAAUUCCCAUGCUUGCCUUCUCAGAGGAGUUCUGUGGUCAGGAAGAUCUGAGUUCAUUGCCCUCUGCCUCAAUCCUUUCCUAUUCUCCCAUGGAUUUUGUUGUUUCCAUUGUUCAAUGAUCUUAAAAUUUUGAUUCUAAGACUCUGCGGGUCUCAGAAUGAAAUCAGGUGAUUUGUCUUUCCUGGGUCUGGAAGCCAGCCAAACUCUGCCUUGCUUUGGUCAUUCUUAGCGACGUUUGAGUGUUUGCUCAGGAGUUGCCCAACUGUAUCCUUGAUGUACAUAUUUAUAAAUGGCAGCUCUUUUCUAGCAAUGUAAGGGGUAUCAUUAAUGCUCAUUCAUGCAAAUAUUAAAUGCCAGGCCCCCUUCUAGGUGCAAAGAGCAUGGGUCUCUAUGCUUAGGGAGCUUUCAUUCUAGAAAAAGAUAGGAUAAUACAUAAGGAAACAAGUAAACACAUUUAAAAAUGAGAAUUUCAGAUUGUGUUGAGGCCUCUGAAGCACAUAAUGAAGGUGAGGGGACAGGGACCUGGGAGGAGGAGGGAUAGAGGCCAGGAGGAGGAAGAGGCUGGUUUAGACAGCAUUUCCCCGCUGAGAGGUGACAUUGGACUGGAUAUAGCAUGAUGAAGAGGUCAACACACGACACACGAAGAUCUUGAAGGAGAAAGUUCUUGGCAGAGGAGACCUGGGCAUCGGGCCCCGAGGUGGGAUCAGCUUUAUUAAGAAUUCCUGGGUGAAUUUCAACUAGACACCAGUUCCGAUCAUAAUGUUGGAUGUGAAUAUUUUGAUAUAAGGGUUUUAACAGUGGCUGUUAUUUCUGAAUCACCCAGCAAUAGGCUAGAUGCUCUGUAACCAUUAGUGUUUGUUGCUAAAACAUCAGCCAAAUGAAGACAGGGCUAUUGAUCUGUUUUGUUCAGUGAUAUAGCUCCCAUGCACAUAGAAAGUGCUCAGUAAAUAUGUGUGACCUAAACAAAUCCUUACCGCAGUCCUGUAGUGGAAGUAGCCCCUCCUCUAGUGUAGAGAUGAGGCGACUGAGGCUCAGAGACAUUUAAGGAAAGCUGGGAUUUGAGCCUGCGUCUGUCAGCCUGGAAAACCAAUGCUUUUCCUCCUGUGCUCCGCCUCCCACGCUUGCCCUAGUACAUCCGACCCACUUGCUUCCCAAGUCUAAUCUUGUUAGCCUCCCUCUGAGUCAAGACUGAGGCCGGGAGUUAAUUUGGCUGUUCUGCUCAGCCCUGUUCAUCAGGGAGUGGUCCCUCAGCAGCCCAGUCAUGAGAGGGUCCCACUGAUUUCCAAGCUAACUUGCUGCCUUUGAUAUGGGCUCAGAUCUCUUCAAACAACCAGACCUCAGACUCUGACUGCCAAAGCCUGCCCUCUAAGAGGUUUUACAUAAAUCAUGGAAUCAGAGCACAGUUCAUGCUGUCAAAAUUCAGGCAAAUGUAAAAGAACAGGGAGGAAGGGAAAGGAAAUAACACGAAUUGAAUACUUGCUAUGUGACUCAUUUGUGGCUUUGUCCUUUAUGUACAGAACCUAAUUUAACAAUUAAUAAUUAUUACAGUAGAAUGGUAAUGAGAAUUGGCUUGAGGAUUGGAUAGAUCGGGAUUAAAUUCCAGGUGCUGGCACUUAGAAGCUGUAUGAUAUUAGGAAAGUUAUUUCAUCUCCGUGUUCCUUAGUUAGUUAUAAAAUAGGUCUAAUGUUACCUAUCCUAUAGGCUUCUUGUGAAGAUUAAUAAGAUAACACUGGUAAGUGCUUCCCCAAAGCCGGCAUUCAAUGAAUGCAACUUAUAAUAAAUCACUAUAUUUUAUUGAGUCUAAGAUGCUAUAUAUUAAGUACCAUCAUUUUGCAUACCACUAAGAAAGGACGCUGCCAAUUUAACUAUCAUGCACUAUCAAUUGUAAGAUACAUUCUGAUAUGUAUGGGAAAAGGUGCAUCUUAGAAUAGAUGAAAUAUGUGUAUGUUAUAGGUUGUAUAGCCCGCUAAUGGUGACACUACAUUGACAAAUUACUGACGCCCUUAAGGCAAAUCAUGGGCUAUUGUUUGUCAAGUGCUUUAGAAACUGAGUGCCAGCAUCUUUCUUUCUAGCCUCUCUUAAUUAUUCAUGACCUUCAGAAUCAAAAAGAUUUUUCUGACAUCAAGUCAAGCUGUCCCACAACAAAUUCAGCCAGACUCUGCUUGUUUAUUCCACUCUGCCGACAAUAAACAAGUGGUUGGUGUUCUCAGAACCCUCCAUUUAUCCAGUUGUUAAGUUACAACUUAAAUGCUUUUUCUUUUUCAGUCUAAUUACAGUAUAAUCAUCUAGGCCUGCAAAACACCUCACCGAUAUAAUGUGGCUGAGUUCAAGGAAUUACGAGUUUUAAAAAGUUUGCCAUUCAUGCAUUCGUUCAUUCAUCCAGUAUGUUUAUGGAGAGCAUAACAUGUGCCUGGUCUUUUUUUAAAUAUCGGGAAUAGGAUUUUGUGCACUAGAUAAGGUGCCUGCUCUCACGGAAUUUGGGGGAAGACAGGUAAUACCUGAGUAACAAAGAAAUACUAUUUCAGAUAGCAAUGAAGUUUAUGACAAAAAUAAAGCUUGAUAAUGCCACAGAAAGUGACUGAUGCUGAGGGUAUUGCAGGUAGAACAGCAGGGAAGUUUCUUUGGAGAUGUUACCAUUGAAUGAAUGUUACCUGAAUGAUGCUGCGGGUGGAGGACGUGGGUGGAGGUGCAGAGGCCAGAGGCGGAUCUUGCAAAGCCCUCCUAAGGUAGAAAAGAGCUUGGAUUAUUUACAAAACAGAGCGGAGUGGAGCGUAUAAACGCAGGGGAAGCAGGGGAAGGAAAGCAGGGGUUUAGGCAGGGGCUAGAUCACGGCGGCCAUUGACAAAGCGUUUCUUCUAAAUGUAAGGAGAAACCAGUGGAGAAGGGCAGGUUAUUAAAGCAAGGAGUGAUACGAUCUAAUUUGAUUGUUUUUUUUCCUGAAUUCUGUGGCUGUAGCGUAGAGAGAACACUGUGGGGUGAGGCACAGGGGCAAGGAUUGAAGCAAGAUGACCCCACAGAGAUCCCGACCAUAUUUAAAAUGGCAGGGAUAAAAAUGGAGCCAUGGGGUUGGAUCAGGCAGAUUAAGGAGGGAGAAGUCUUGGCUGUGGAUUUGGGAGGUGAAGGAAAGAGAAAAAUGAAGUCUGUGUUUGGCAGUGAGCCACAGAAUGAAUGGUCAUGCUGAAACUGACAGCCCUAAUGUCCUGAACCCAGCCAGAACCCACAUUGGGACUUGAACCCAAAUGCUGGGACUCCAACCCCGCCAAAACCCAGGUUGGGAUUUAAGCCACAAUUUUCAAUUAGAAUCACUCACCCUGUGUCUGGACUCACUGAGGUUCAGGUUCUUCAUGCCUCUAUGCAGAAGGAAUUCAGUGAGAGACAAUUGAGAGGCAAGAAAUAGAUUUAUUAAGAUAGGAUGCUUGUGAGAGAUGCAAGCGGGCAGGCAGGGAGGCUCUGCCCCGAGGAUGGGUGGGCUACAGUUUUAUCAUCCAGGGGGAGCGGGGGUGGGAAAAGCCUGCCUCUUCUUCUCUGGGAGUAGUGGCUCCUCCUUGGUAUCUGGUAUUCAAAUCAGUGGAACAGUGGUCCUUAAACUCCUGCUUUGGGUCUGGACCUGAACGCAGGCCUCAUCCCAUCGCCGACCCAAUGACCUGAGGCCAGUCUCACACCUCCACUAGUCUAGCAAGCCUGCCUUGUUCUGAUGGCUUUCUUGAGCAAUUAUUAACUUACAGUGCUCUCUCAACGUCCCUCUCUAUCUGUGGUCCCUUUUAUUGGGACUUCUCCGACUACCUGUGCCUACUCCAUCCCAAACAAUGCCUCUUGUUGAGGUAGAGAAGAGCCUACAGGAGCCCAUCAGGGAGACUUCUGAGGUUCAGGUCACCACCCAGAUAGUUGAACAAGUCCCAGUCUGGGUUUUGUCUGGAUUUGAGUCCCAGAACGUGAGUUCAAGUCCCAGUCUGGGUUCUAUCAGUCAUCCAGGUGGGGUGCACUGAGGAGUUCAGAGGAAGCAUCACGGUUAAAGGUGCACCUGUAGGAGAUUAUUUAAAACGCAGGUGAGGUUUUCUAGGAGAGACUGGAGAGAGAGUGAGGAAGACGUGUAGGGGAAGAGGAGAAGGAGCCAACACAAAAUGUUCAGGAUGCUGGUGUUGCUAUGAGAAAAUGGUAAGCUCCGCAGAUCAAUGAAGAGGAGAAAACCAAACAAAGGGUUAAAAACAUCGAGACUGCAGGGUGGUGGACCCCCUGGGGGUUGAGAGUCCAGUAGAGAGAGAGUGUUUUCCUGGGAACAGUAUUGAUGUUGAUCAAAGGAGCAGCUGCCUUUCAUUUUACAGACACUGAAACACAGAAAGGUUAAGUGUCUUGACCAAGGUGACAGAGCUACGAAGUGACAGAGCUGGGAUUUGAACUCAAAGAUCUUGGCUCCACCAUCUGGAUGCUUAACCACCCUAUGACACGGCCUCUAAAUGGGAUCCUAAAAAGAGUUUAAAAUAAAUGAAGGGGGGGGAAAGAAUCUUUUGUAUCCAAGGAGCAGCAGCGGGAUGGGUGCUGAAGGACGGGCUUGGUGACAAGACAUUUUGGUCAGCUUCACCUCUGGAGUGACAGUGCCAUUUUGAAAGAGGCCAGAAACGGUCAUAAUGAAAAUAAAUGUUGUUCAGAAUGGGGGGAGUAAGCAGAGUUUAUUUUCUCCCUUUCCUUUUUCAGGUAGUUCUGAGCAAUAAAGGCCCCCGACCACUAUUCAUAUCUGAUUAAACAAAAGUAAGAAAAAAAAAAAGGCAGAGAAAAGACCUCAGGAGCAGGUGGCAAGCUUAAUCUUUGGUAUUUAGAAUGAUGAAGAGAAGCAAUAUGUGAAAUCCACUUAAAAUAUGAUUUCAUGUUCUAAUAUACAUUUUGAAUUUAUGGGGAACUGACUUCUGCCAUUUAUUCAGAGAGCAAAAAAAAAAAAAA
rnacentral:lncRNA from 1 species